rnacentral:rRNA from 1 species
GGCGAACGGGUGAGUAACACGUGGGUGAUCUGCCCUGCACUUCAGGAUAAGCUUGGGAAACUGGGUCUAAUACCGGAUAGGAGCCAUCUUUAGUGUGGUGGUUGGAAAGUUUUUUCGGUGUAGGAUGAGCUCGCGGCCUAUCAGCUUGCUGGUGGGGUAAUGGCCUACCAAGGCGGCGACGGGUAGCCGGCCUGAGAGGGUGUACGGCCACAUUGGGACUGAGAUACGGCCCAG